AUGGACUGGACCUGGAGAAUUCUCUUCCUGGUGGCAGUGGCUGCAGGUGUGUACUCCCAGGUGCAGCUGGUGCAGUCACGGGCUGAGGUGGGAAAACCUGAGACAUCAGUGAAGAUCUCCUGCAAGGUAUCCAGAUACACCUUCACCAGCAGAUGGAUGAGCUGGGUGCGGCAGGUCCCAGGACAAGGGCUUGAGUGGAUGGGAAGGAUAGACCCAAGUGAUAGUUAUACAAAUUACGCACAAAAGUUCCAAGGCAGACUCACACUCACUGCCGACAAGUCCAAGUACACAGUCUACAUGGAACUGAGCAGGCUGAGCACCGAGGACACAGCCGUGUAUUACCGUGCAAGAAAAACAGUGUGA